AGAGUUUGAUCAUGGCUCAGGACGAACGCUGGCGGCGUGCCUAAUACAUGCAAGUAGAACGCUGAAGAGAGGAGCUUGCUCUUCUUGGAUGAGUUGCGAACGGGUGAGUAACGCGUAGGUAGCCUGCCUUGUAGCGGGGGAUAACUAUUGGAAACGAUAGCUAAUACCGCAUAACAAUGGAUGACCCAUGUCAUUUAUUUGAAAGGGGCAAAUGCUCCACUACAAGAUGGACCUGCGUUGUAUUAGCUAGUAGGUGAGGUAACGGCUCACCUAGGCGACGAUACAUAGCCGACCUGAGAGGGUGAUCGGCCACACUGGGACUGAGACACGGCCCAGACUCCUACGGGAGGCAGCAGAAGGGAAUCUUCGGCAAUGGGGGCAACCCUGACCGAGCAACGCCGCGUGAGUGAAGAAGGUUUUCGGAUCGUAAAGCUCUGUUGUAAGUCAAGAACGAGUGUGAGAGUGGAAAGUUCACACUGUGACGGUAGCUUACCAGAAAGGGACGGCUAACUACGUGCCAGCAGCCGCGGUAAUACGUAGGUCCCGAGCGUUGUCCGGAUUUAUUGGGCGUAAAGCGAGCGCAGGCGGUUUGAUAAGUCUGAAGUUAAAGGCUGUGGCUCAACCAUAGUUCGCUUUGGAAACUGUCAAACUUGAGUGCAGAAGGGGAGAGUGGAAUUCCAUGUGUAGCGGUGAAAUGCGUAGAUAUAUGGAGGAACACCGGUGGCGAAAGCGGCUCUCUGGUCUGUAACUGACGCUGAGGCUCGAAAGCGUGGGGAGCGAACAGGAUUAGAUACCCUGGUAGUCCACGCCGUAAACGAUGAGUGCUAGGUGUUGGAUCCUUUCCGGGAUUCAGUGCCGCAGCUAACGCAUUAAGCACUCCGCCUGGGGAGUACGACCGCAAGGUUGAAACUCAAAGGAAUUGACGGGGGCCCGCACAAGCGGUGGAGCAUGUGGUUUAAUUCGAAGCAACGCGAAGAACCUUACCAGGUCUUGACAUCCCGAUGCUAUUUCUAGAGAUAGAAAGUUACUUCGGUACAUCGGUGACAGGUGGUGCAUGGUUGUCGUCAGCUCGUGUCGUGAGAUGUUGGGUUAAGUCCCGCAACGAGCGCAACCCCUAUUGUUAGUUGCCAUCAUUCAGUUGGGCACUCGAGCGAGACUGCCGGUAAUAAACCGGAGGAAGGUGGGGAUGACGUCAAAUCAUCAUGCCCCUUAUGACCUGGGCUACACACGUGCUACAAUGGUUGGUACAACGAGUUGCGAGUCGGUGACGGCAAGCUAAUCUCUUAAAGCCAAUCUCAGUUCGGAUUGUAGGCUGCAACUCGCCUACAUGAAGUCGGAAUCGCUAGUAAUCGCGGAUCAGCACGCCGCGGUGAAUACGUUCCCGGGCCUUGUACACACCGCCCGUCACACCACGAGAGUUUGUAACACCCGAAGUCGGUGAGGUAACCUUUUGGAGCCAGCCGCCUAAGGUGGGAUAGAUGAUUGGGGUGAAGUCGUAACAAGGUA
rnacentral:rRNA from 1 species